AGUAGUAGCUUGUCUCUCCUGUUCGAUGGUUUGAUACCUGCAUUCUUCUCCUAUAACUCAUACCUUCCUUCUGACUUGCUGAAUGAGGAUCUGACUUGACUACUAUACUGGUUGGGUCAAGAACUUGACUUUCAUAGCUUCCCGAAACAACCAAUAAGGGCCUCUAUACUUCCUCUUUGAACUCUGGCUUAGCUCCCCACUUGAGAAUAACUGAUGAAACAGGACCACUACUUGUAAACUUCUGACUAAACUAGGGAUGAAACUCGGCAACUACUGAUUCCACUGGAGCACUACUAGUUUGGGAUUCCACUAGAAAAGAAAGAGCAGAGCCUGCAGUGAGCUUACUGGACUACCGGUCUUCAACUCAAACCUGGGAAUCUUCUCCGACUUAAUAUAGGGCGGUGGGAAAAAGAGAGAAGACUGUGACUGCUGAGUUUGAUUCUUACUGGUUGUCUCUUACUGGACUACUAUACAACUAGUUUCAGGGUAAACCAGGCAAUCAACGUAUGUAUACAAAGGCAAAAAACCCAAGAACAGGAACAGGGGAUUCCACUCCUAAUUAAGGGGAUGAAACUAACUACUACUAUACUAGAUCUUAUUCUUAUGUACUAGAUGCUUAGUACUAGAUGCGCUUUGACUACUGAGUUCAAUUAAGACUAGUUGCAUUCCGACUCCCCUUCCCGCUUCAGAAUCACCUAUUUGUUUUACCAGUAGAGGCGGGCAAGGUAUACAAUAAGUCUUUACUUGAUGUUAAGGGUUUCAUCCGUUCACCUAUAUAAAGAGAAGAUCCAAGCCACUCAAAAGGAGGAAUGGAAUUGUUAUGCCUAUGGUCUCAUAUCCCGCGCUAAAGAGCACAAGAUACCAUCUGAUUCGGGAGUAAAGCCAAGUAUGCAACCCCCACUCCUUUGGAAAGCCAACCAACAACUUCCUUUUGCACUCGACUUUCAAUUGCAUCUGCUCUCGGAGACAAAACCAGAACUCAACCUUUCCUGGACCACACCUUACCUGACUUAAAAACUGGAACUCUUAUUGAACCUAGGUCUUAAACUCUCACUCGACCAGGAACAGGAGAAGGAUCGGCUCCUAUUAACUUCAUGAGGCUAAUCUACUUAAGUACAGAGCCAUAAAAGUCUUAGUUUCUGGACUACUAUACUGGCUGGGGAUGAAACUAACUAAUACAGAUGAAACUGGGGAUGAAACAACUAAAGUCAGUCUUUCACUUCCACUUCUGAAGCUCGGGAUGAAACUAGAGCACCGAACUAUACUCUGGCUCGUCAACUAACAUAGAUUGAAGUCUAACUCUUUAUUACACGUGCCUCUCCUUACUUAACUAGCUCUAGCUCAUGACCUAUCCUUAUUUCGGGAACAAGCCCCUAAUCAAGGUAAAGAACUGGCCGAGUGUAUUCGGCUUAUGGAACAAGACUUUCAUUUCGAACUGUUGCUGAGCUGCUAUAAACUCAAUUUGUUACUGGGUUCGUUGGGUCCUUAGCCUAGCCUAGGUAAGAUGUGGCAG
rnacentral:lncRNA from 1 species